AUUGAACGCUGGCGGCAGGCCUAACACAUGCAAGUCGAGCGGAUGACGGGAGCUUGCUCCUUGAUUCAGCGGCGGACGGGUGAGUAAUGCCUAGGAAUCUGCCUGGUAGUGGGGGACAACGUUUCGAAAGGAACGCUAAUACCGCAUACGUCCUACGGGAGAAAGCAGGGGACCUUCGGGCCUUGCGCUAUCAGAUGAGCCUAGGUCGGAUUAGCUUGUUGGUGAGGUAAUGGCUCACCAAGGCGACGAUCCGUAACUGGUCUGAGAGGAUGAUCAGUCACAAUGGAACUGAGACACGGUCCAGACUCCUACGGGAGGCAGCAGUGGGGAAUAUUGGACAAUGGGCGAAAGCCUGAUCCAGCCAUGCCGCGUGUGUGAAGAAGGUCUUCGGAUUGUAAAGCACUUUAAGUUGGGAGGAAGGGUUGUAGAUUAAUACUCUGCAAUUUUGACGUUACCGACAGAAUAAGCACCGGCUAACUCUGUGCCAGCCGCCGCAGUAAUAC
rnacentral:rRNA from 1 species